rnacentral:rRNA from 1 species
GACGAACGCUGGCGGCGUGCUUAACACAUGCAAGUCGAACGGAAAGGCCCUGCUUUUGUGGGGUGCUCGAGUGGCGAACGGGUGAGUAACACGUGAGUCACCUGCCCUUGACUUUGGGAUAACUUCAGGAAACUGGGGCUAAUACCGGAUAGGAGCUCCUGCUGCAUGGUGGGGGUUGGAAAGUUUCGGCGGUUGGGGAUGGACUCGCGGCUUAUCCGCUUGUUGGUGGGGUAGUGGCUUACCAAGGCUUUGACGGGUAGCCGGCCUGAGAGGGUGACCGGCCAAAUUGGGAUUGAGAUACGGCCCAGACUCGUACGGGAGGAAGCAGGGGGGAAUAUUGAAAAAGGGGCGGAAGCCGGAGGCAGCAACGCCGCGUGGGGGAUGAGGGCCUUCGGGUUGUAAACCGCUUUCGCCUGUGACGAAGCGUGAGUGACGGUAAUGGGUAAAGAAGCACCGGCUAACUACGUG